rnacentral:rRNA from 1 species
GGAAUCUUAGACAAUGGGGGCAACCCUGAUCUAGCCAUGCCGCGUGAGUGAUGAAGGCCUUAGGGUUGUAAAGCUCUUUCAGCUGGGAAGAUAAUGACGGUACCAGCAGAAGAAGCCCCGGCUAACUCCGUGCCAGCAGCCGCGGUAAUACGGAGGGGGCUAGCGUUGUUCGGAAUUACUGGGCGUAAAGCGUGCGUAGGCGGAUUAUUAAGUUAGGGGUGAAAUCCCGGGGCUCAACCUCGGAACUGCCUCUAAAACUGGUAAUCUAGAGAUAUGGAGAGGUAAGUGGAAUUCCUAGUGUAGAGGUGAAAUUCGUAGAUAUUAGGAGGAACACCAGAGGCGAAGGCGGCUUACUGGACAUAUACUGACGCUGAGGCACGAAAGUGUGGGUAGCAAACAGGAUUAGAUACCCUGGUAGUCCACACCGUAAACGAUGAGAGCUAGUUGUCUGCAGGCAUGCCUGUAGGUGACGCAGCUAACGCAUUAAGCUCUCCGCCUGGGGAGUACGGUCGCAAGAUUAAAACUCAAAGAAAUUGACGGGGGCCCGCACAAGCGGUGGAGCAUGUGGUUUAAUUCGAUGCAACGCGAAGAACCUUACCGGGGUUUGACAUACUAUAAAUUUUUGGAAACAAGAAGUUAAAAAUAUAGAUACAGGUGGUGCAUGGCUGUCGUCAGCUCGUGUCGUGAGACGUAGGGUUAAGUCCUGUAACGAGCGCAACCCUUAUUGUUAGUUGCUAUAAGGAAACUAGCGAGACUGCCAGUGAUAAGCUGGAGGAAGGUGAGGAUGACGUCAAGUCAGCAUGCCCCUUAAAUCCCGGGCUACACACGUGCUACAAUGGUUAAGACAAAGAGAUGCCAACUUGUGAAAGAACAGCAAACCUCAAAAACUUAAUCUCAGUUCGGAUUGUAGGCUGCAACUCGCCUACAUGAAGCUGGAAUCGCUAGUAAUCGCAGGUCAGCUAUACUGCGGUGAAUACGUUCCCGGGCCUUGUACACACCGCCCGUCACACCAUCGGAGCUGACUAGGCCCGA